rnacentral:piRNA from 1 species
UUCUCCCAAAACGAAGUCCAUGUAGGGAAGC